AGCGCCUGGCGCGGGACUCCUCUUUCUCCCGGAAGCGGAGCAGCGAGCCGGCAAAGGCUUGGGUGUGAGACAGCAACGGUGGCAGACACCGCAGAAGCAAAGAGCAGUGAGGCUACUGCAUUCGGGUGGAGCACCAUGGACGAAGCUGGCAGCUCUGCGAGCGGCGGGGGCUUCCGCCCGGGCGUGGACAGCCUGGACGAACCGCCCAACAGCCGCAUCUUCCUUGUGAUCAGCAAGUACACGCCUGAGUCGGUGCUGAGGGAGCGCUUCUCGCCUUUUGGCGACAUCCAGGACAUCUGGGUGGUGCGGGACAAGCACACCAAGGAGUCCAAGGGCAUUGCUUUUGUCAAAUUCGCCCGCAGCUCACAGGCCUGCAGGGCCAUGGAGGAGAUGCAUGGCCAGUGCCUCGGCCCCAACGACACCAAGCCCAUCAAGGUUUUCAUUGCUCAGUCCCGAUCAUCUGGAAGUCACCGAGAUGUUGAAGAUGAAGAACUUACAAGAAUCUUUGUUAUGAUACCGAAGUCCUACACAGAAGAAGAUCUGCGGGAAAAAUUUAAGGUGUAUGGAGAUAUCGAGUAUUGCAGCAUUAUUAAGAAUAAAGUCACUGGAGAAAGUAAAGGUUUGGGCUACGUACGAUACUUAAAACCAUCACAAGCUGCCCAAGCAAUAGAAAACUGUGAUCGAAGUUUUAGAGCAAUCUUGGCUGAACCUAAAAAUAAAGCUUCUGAAUCCUCUGAACAAGAUUAUUAUAGUAAUAUGAGGCAAGAGGCUUUGGGACAUGAACCUAGAGUAAAUAUGUUUCCAUUUGUUGGAGAACAACAAUCUGAAUUUUCAAGUUUUGACAAGAAUGACAGCCGAGGCCAGGAAGCAAUCUCCAAACGCUUGUCAGUUGUAUCAAGAGUUCCUUUCACUGAAGAACAGCUUUUCAGCAUUUUUGAUAUAGUACCGGGAUUGGAAUAUUGUGAAGUUCAACGAGAUCCUUAUUCAAAUUAUGGUCAUGGAGUGGUUCAGUAUUUUAAUGUAGCAUCAGCUAUUUAUGCAAAAUACAAACUACAUGGAUUUCAGUACCCUCCUGGGAACCGAAUAGGUGUUUCCUUCAUUGAUGAUGGAAGUAAUGCAACAGAUCUCCUUAGAAAAAUGGCAACGCAGAUGGUAGCUGCACAGCUUGCAUCAAUGGUGUGGAAUAACCCAAGUCAGCAACAAUUUAUGCAAUUUGGAGGAAGCUCUGGAUCACAGUUGCCUCAAAUCCAGACAGAUGUUGUACUUCCAUCAUGCAAAAAAAAAGCCCCUGCUGAAACUCCUGUGAAAGAAAGACUUUUUAUUGUGUUUAAUCCUCAUCCUUUACCUUUAGACGUAUUAGAAGAUAUAUUCUGUCGUUUUGGUAACCUGAUCGAAGUUUACCUUGUGUCAGGAAAAAAUGUGGGGUAUGCCAAGUAUGCCGAUAGAAUAAGUGCUAAUGAUGCCAUUGCCACUCUACAUGGAAAGAUUCUGAAUGGGGUGAGACUUAAAGUUAUGCUGGCAGAUUCGCCAAGAGAAGAAUCUAACAAACGGCAAAGAACUUACUGAUUCUUGAGAAACAGUAGCUCAAGAACACAUGGAUCCUGGGAACUGAAGGUAUGGUAUUGGUAGGAGAUCAGACAGGAAUAUUCAGUUAAAAUAUCAAGUUGUAGUUCAUUCAUUACAAUGGCCAUGCUUUGACUUUAUUUAAGGUAGAAAAGUCUUGUCCUUAGUAGAAAAUGCAGCUCCCACUAUACUUUGAGAAAGUUACCAGGCUCUGUGAAAAUUUGAGUAAUUAUCUGAGAGAAAGGGAGUUCUGUGACUGUCAUAUAUGAAUUGAAGACAGUAUCUGGAUGUCAAGGUCCAUGUGAGCUAGCUAACCUAGGCUAUACCACCGUGGGACUCUUAGAAACCGCUUGUCUGACCGAAAUUCUACAGAAGUGGCAGAAGGAAGGCAUCAGGAGACCAUUUUUAAACAGUUGUUUGUAUAUGAGGUACAAAACUCAAGAAUUGUGUGAAAAGGCAAGAACCAGUACUGUUUUCUACAGAAACUGGGGGAAAUACUGAGCACAGAAGAAUAACCAAAGUGCUUCCCACCAAUAACUUCUGUGAAACUACGUUCUCUGAAUUCUUCUCCAAAUUCUUUUCUGAUUUUGUAAGUAAUGAUGUUACAACUAAUUUUUUUGCUUAUAUAUUAUUAAUAUUUUCUAGCAUUAACAAGACAUAGGUAACAGCAUUCAUUAGCUCAGAGUUUUUAAGGGUUUUGUUUGCUUGCUUGCUCUGUUUUUUUGUUGUUUCUUUAUGCUAGAAAAAAAAUUAAAGUCAUCUACUUUAAAGGCAUAUACUAAUUUACUAGAAGUUCUGAUAUAUAAAAAUAUGUAAUUUCAUUUUUUUUUUCUCUUUGUCAACAAAGCCUAUCUGGGCCGGGUGCAGUGGCUGACGCCUGUAAUCUCAGCACUGUGGGAGGCUGAGGUGGGCGGAUCACUUGAGGUCAGGAGUUUGAGACCAGCCUGGCCAACAUGUGGCCCUGAAGCUGCACUAUGUUGGAGGUUUGCUUGACUAAGAGAACCACACGCGGCAUUCACCUCAGUAGGGGAGUCAUAAAAGAUCCCGCCUCUGACCUGAAGAGUAUGAAUGACAAAGGUGACAUAACCAGCACGGAAAGAUGUCUUAGCCUCUGCACAUCAGCUGAUUUAGAAUACUUACAGAUAGGGGUUGGGGUGGGGGGUGCGGAAUGUUCUUUUCAGCUUCUUUACACUGAGAACUUUGAUCUUAUUGCAAGGAAGUCCCUUACCCUCUUCUACUGCAGAUCUGACGGACCUCCUGGGAUUUCCUGGGGAAAUGAAAUGAGUCUAACACCUUUGACCACCUGCUGGAUAUUAUAUCAGCACUUACUUCAGUAAACUGAAAGAGCUGAAAGCAAUAUUCAGAGUCUGACAGUUCUCUGCAACUGGCCUAGAUAACCUCAUUGUGAAAUAAGUAACUAAAUGGACAAAAGAUUUGAACAAGCACUUCACAAAAGAAGACCAAGAAGAGGGCAGGGUUUUUUGUUUGGGGAGUUUUAUUUAGUUUUGUUUUGGGGUUGUUUUGUUUUGGCAGAGGACAGGAGGAGUGGAUAGAUUCAUUUUGUAAAGAAAUAUUAAAAUAUUCUUUUUAAUUUGAUAGUUAAUAUAAGCUUAAGAAUCUUUUAAAACUCAGAAUGUUCAGCCGUAUUAGUCAUCAGUGAACUGCUCAUUAAAACUACAAUAAGCUACCCUAACAGUGGUAUGAACAGCAAGAACUAAAAUGUUGACAGUACCAAGUACUGGUGACAGUGUGAAGCAACAAGAACUGCUGAUGCAAAUUGGCUCAACCGCUUGGGAAAAUGUUUGACAGUAUCUACUAAAGUUGAACAUAUGUAUACCCUCAACUCAGCAAUUCUACUUCUAAGCAUAUAUCCAACAAAGAUGUGUACAUAUAUGUACCAAAAGACACAUACAAAAACAUUCUUGGUAUUAUUCAUAGUAGCCUCAAAGUGGAAACAACCCCAAUGUCCAUGAACAGAAUGCAUAUGACACUCUAUAGCAAGGAAAUGAGCUAACUUGCUACACUUAAUGAUUUGAAGGAAUCUCACAAACAUAAUGUUGAACAAAAGCAACCAGCCAACAAAAGAUGUGCUGUAGGAUUACCAGUUACAGAGUUCAAAAACAAGCAAAACAUACCUUUGAGCAGAAUGGAAUGGGGGAGUUCACAAAGGGAGUUAUGGUGUGCUGGUGGUCUUGUUUUUCUUGACCAGGAUGGGGAUAACUGAUCGUUUUUGAGCUGCACUCUAUGGAGUAUGCAUUUUUUAUUUAUCUUAUACUUCAAUUAAAGUUUUUCUUUCUUAGUGAAUAAAGCAAAAAUCAGCAUGAGGCUGGUGAAACAGACAGUUCUGCAGAAUGAGAGAAGAGCAAUGUCCUGUAGCAUUUAGAAAGAAGGACUUUGUUCUUCCAGUGCUUAUAGAACAAGAAAUAUUAGAAAAUAUCUGCUUUUGCUCCCCCUAUGGUGCAGCAGGGUAUUAUGAUGGCAAGAGGGCAGGAAAAUAAGAGUGAGAAAAGAAAGGGAGAAGCUAAAUUAAUAUUUGAGUCAGAAAUAGUAAAUAGUCAUAGCACUAAAGAAAAUUGAAUCCAUGAUGAACAGUGAAUACUGAACUACUUUUCAGAAUCCUGUGGGUUCUCAUGAGUCCACAAAGCGAAGAUGGAGGGAAGUUCCCCCACUUUUUGUUCAUUAUCCAGAUCAGAACUGCUUUCAUCAAUGUUAUAUAUUGUGCUUUAAAAGCUUUCUUUUAAAGGAUUCUCUGCAGCUUAAAUAAGUUAGGAUGAACAAAAAGCGCCAGAGCAAAAGAUAAAAAGCACCCUCCGACGAAUAUAGUAAGAGAAAAGGUGCAGAUCAAAAAGGCUGAUUACAGAGAUUUAUCCUUUGACUAAUAGAUGUUCCCAAUAAACAAUAACUCAUUUUAAUAGAAGAAACAUGGUUGAUCUAAAAAAUUUUAAAAGUCACAAGACUGAAGAUCCUCUUCUACACAUUUUAAAUGCCAUCUGGAAUGGAGCAAUGUCUGCAGUUUUGUAGCCCAAGAUUUCUCUACUCAUCCAAAUUGUAAAGGUAACAGACAUUCUGUGAUAUACAAUGUACUGCUCAUUUGCCCUUUCUGGAAAAAAAUUAAUCACCACACUCCCAAAAUGAAUCAAAAUUAAGAAUAAAAGAAUGAGGAAAGAAAGGCCAGUCGGUGAGUAUUGAAAUCAUCACUGAAACUAUUAGAAUAAUGAAGGUAAUUGUAAAUUUCAUUUUAAAAAAAAAGAGGUUUAUUAUAUGACUUAUCUAUUUCGAAAUUUGUCAGUGGGAUUUAUAACCCUAGGUUAAGUUAAUGAAGGCCAAGAAGGAAUGGCAGUUUAUUUUUUUGGGGGGAUGGAGGUGGGUAAGGGGUAAAAUCCUUCUCUUUUGUAAAGAAAUAUUAAAAUUCAUUCUUUUUUUACUUUGAUAAUUAAAUGUAAGAUUAAGAAUCUUUUGAAAUCUGUUAAGGUUGUUAAUAAUAAAAUUAAUAACA